CUGCGCCGGGGGAUCGGAGCUGUGGAGCUGCGGUGCGAUGUCCGCAAAGUUCCGGGAGGCAGCGGUCGCCUACUCCUCGCCGUCCCGCCCCGGCGCCUUUUGUGCGAGCAAGAAUCAUAUGUGAAGAGGGCACUGCAAUUGAGAAAAUGCCUCCAGCAGUUUGGCCUCUCAGCAAGCCUGUGGGACAUUUCCUCGACUAAUGAUUAAUGUAGGAGGCCCCAGCCCACUGUGGGUGGUGCCACCCCUGAGCUGUAUAUAAGAAAGCAGGCUGAGGAAGCCACAAAGAGCAAGCCAGUAAGCAGAAUUCCUCCAAGUCAUGUUUUAGUUCCUGUUACCUUCAGGUUCCUGCCUUCAGGUUCCUGCCCUGCUUGGGUGUUGGCAGUGAUUCACAUCCAGAACACUACGUUUAAAAGCUUGCAGUUUUCUAGCAUAUUAAGAUGUAAUACCUCUGGGAUUUUGUUGUGAAGAAAAGCGAUGAUCUGUGGGACACAUCUUCCAGUUCACAGCAUCUGGGAUCCCAAGUCUGGAUAAAGCGUCAAAUUCUAGAAAUGCACAAGGAAGUAGAAUGAAACUGUCAAUCACUCACAUCUUCCAGAAGCGUCACAAGAAGAAUGACAGAGAACCCACAGACACGUGAGGCCGGGUGUGUGUAACUUUCCUUGGGCUGCUUUCCCUCUUCAC
ensembl:processed_transcript Gm11906 predicted gene 11906